rnacentral:other from 1 species
AGGCCCCUGCGCGAUUUGACAGUCACCUUUUUUUAACCCACAAUUAGUUUUCGGGAUUCCGGAUGUUCCCAUACGGAGUUGCAGGCCUCCCGCCUCGGCGGAAGUUGGAAGCACAGAUGUAUGCGACAGGAGACCCACCUGCAGGAGAUGUGCAGGUUACUAAUCUGGUGACAUCGGUUGCGCGGGGUUUCU